CAGCAGCCGCGGUAAUACGGAGGGAGCUAGCGUUGUUCGGAAUUACUGGGCGUAAAGCGCACGUAGGCGGUUUUUCAAGUCAGAGGUGAAAGCCCGGGGCUCAACCCCGGAACUGCCUUUGAAACUAGGAGACUUGAAUCUUGGAGAGGUCAGUGGAAUUCCGAGUGUAGAGGUGAAAUUCGUAGAUAUUCGGAAGAACACCAGUGGCGAAGGCGACUGACUGGACAAGUAUUGACGCUGAGGUGCGAAAGCUAGGGGAGCAAACAGGAUUAGAUACCCGAGUAGUCCCUGUCUCUUAUAA
rnacentral:rRNA from 1 species